rnacentral:rRNA from 1 species
GACGAACGCUGGCGGCGUGCUUAACACAUGCAAGUCGAACGAAGUGUCGAACGGGUGAGUAACGCGUAAUCAACCUGCCCUUCCGAGGGGGACAACAGUUGGAAACGGCUGCUAAUACCACAUACGGAAGGCGUGUGUUGCGUCUGCUGAGCUAGUUGGAGGUGUAACGGCCUACCAAGGCGAUGAUAAGUAGCCGGUCUGAGAGGAUGAACGGCCACAAUGGGACUGAGACACGGCCCAGACUCCUACGGGAGGCAGCAGUGGGGAAUCUUCCGCAAUGGACGAAAGCCUGACGGAGCAACGCCGCGUGAGUGAUGACGGCCUUCGGGUUGUAAAGCUCUGUUAAUCAGGAAGCGGUACCGGAACAGAAAGCCACGGCUAACUACGUGCCAGCAGCCGCGGUAAUUC